rnacentral:rRNA from 1 species
GUGGGGAAUAUUGCGCAAUGGCCGAAAGGCUGACGCAGCGACGCCGCGUGUGGGAUGAAGGCCUUCGGGUUGUAAACCACUGUCGGGAGGGGCGAAUACUUGGGCCUCGUAAGGGGAUCCAGGGGUGACGGUACCUCCAAAGGAAGCACCGGCUAACUCCGUGCCAGCAGCCGCGGUAAUACGGAGGGUGCGAGCGUUGUCCGGAAUCACUGGGCGUAAAGGGCGCGUAGGCGGUUUGGUAAGUCACGUGUGAAAUCCCGGCGCUCAACGCCGGGGCUGCAUGUGAGACUGUCAGACUAGAGCUCGGUAGAGGCAAGUGGAAUUCCCGGUGUAGCGGUGGAAUGCGUAGAUAUCGGGAAGAACACCGGUGGCGAAGGCGGCUUGCUGGGCCGAUGCUGACGCUGAGGCGCGAAAGCGUGGGGAGCAAACAGGAUUAGAUACCCGGGUAGUCC